UACGUAGGGUGCGAGCGUUAAUCGGAAUUACUGGGCGUAAAGCGUGCGCAGGCGGUUCGUUAAGUCAGCUGUGAAAGCCCCGGGCUCAACCUGGGAAUUGCGGUUGAAACUGGCGAACUAGAAUCUGGCAGAGGGGGGUGGAAUUCCACGUGUAGCAGUGAAAUGCGUAGAGAUGUGGAGGAGCACCGAUGGCGAAGGCAGCCCCCUGGGCUGAGAUUGACGCUCAGGCACGAAAGCGUGGGGAGCAAACAGG
rnacentral:rRNA from 1 species